rnacentral:rRNA from 1 species
GUGUGAUAGGGUACUUUUUGUAGAACGGUCCGGCGAGCGAUUGUAUGCAGCAAGGUUAAGGACUUAAGGUCUGGAGCCGAAGCGAAAGCGAGUUUGAAAAGGGCGUUAAGUUGCAUACAAUGGGCCCGAAACCGGGUGACCUACCCAUGGUCAGGUUGAAGUGGAAGUAAAAUUCCAUGGAGGACCGAACCGACCUCCGUUGAAAAGGCGGCGGAUGAACUGUGGGUAGCGGAGAAAUUCCAAUCGAACCCGGAGAUAGCUGGUUCUCCCCGAAAUAGUUUUAGGACUAGCCUCAAGUUAGAUACCUGGAGGUAAAGCACUGAAUAGCCUAGCGGCCGAGAGGUUAGCGAAGCUUAUCAAACUCAGAAUGCCAGAGUAUUGAUGCUUGGGAGUCAGACAGUGUCAGAUAAAUGUCAUUGUCAAAAGGGAAACAGCCCAGAUCUACAGCUAAGGUCCCAAAGUCAGGUUAAGUGGAAAACGAUGUGAAGAUACGUAGACAACCAGGAUGUUGGCUCAGAAGCAGCCACACAUUCAAAGAGUGCGUAAUAGCUCACUGGUCGAGCGUCUUUGCGCGGAGAAUUUAACGGGGCUAAACCUGACACCGAAGCUUAGGCAAUACAGCAAUGUAUUGGGUAGGGGAGCGUUGUAUACGCGGUGAAACAGUAGCGCAAGCGGCUGUGGAGUGUAUAGAAGUGAGAAUGCCGGAAUGAGUAGCGCGAAUGCAGUGAGAAUCUGCAUGGCCGAAAGCCUCAGGUUUCUGGAGGAAGGUUCGUCCGCUCCAGGUUAGUCGGGAGCUAAGGUGAGGCCUAACGGCGUAGCCGAUGCACAGACGGUAGAGAUUCCGUCACCACCAAAAGAGUUAAACACAGGGACACAUUUGAAGUCUCGGAGCCGGGUGUUGGUUCCGGUAGCGAUCGAGGGAAGUUAGUACCGAAGUCCGGGAUGGAAGAUGGCGAGAAAAGCUGUGUGUAUUUCUGCGGUGCCCGUACCGCAAACCGACACAGGUAGGUAGGAAGAAGAUUCUAAGGCCAACGGGAGAAGGGUUGUUAAGGAACUCGGCAAAUUGACCCCGUAACUUCGGGAGAAGGGGUGCUCCAGAGAUGGAGCCGCAGAGAAUCGGCCCAAGCAACUGUUUACCAAAAACACAGGUUUGUGCUAAAUCGAAAGAUGACGUAUACGAGCUGACGCCUGCCCGGUGCUGGAAGGUUAAGAGGAGAUGUGCAAGCAUUGAAUCGAAGCCCCAGUGAACGGCGGCCGUAACUAUAACGGUCCUAAGGUAGCGAAAUUCCUUGUCAGGUAAGUUCUGACCCGCAUGAAAGGCGUAAUGAUUUGGGCACUGUCUCGACAGCCCGCCCGGCGAAAUUGUAGUACCGGUGAAGAUGCCGGUUACCCGCGACAAGACGGAAAGACCCCAUGGAGCUUUACUGUAGCCUAAUAUUGGGUUUCGAUGUUGCAUGCACAGGAUAGAUGGGACACAGGGAAACAAGUGCUUUGGCAUUUGUGGAGUGGCCGUUGGGAUACCAUCCUUGCGAUAUUGGAAUUCUAACCUGCGCCUUUGAAUCAAGGCGGGGGACAUUGUUAGGUGGGCAGUUUGACUGGGGCGGUCGCCUCCUAAAGAGUAACGGAGGCGUUCAAAGGUUCGCUCAGCUUGAACGGAAAUCAAGCAAAAGAGUGCAAACGCAGAAGCGAGCCUAACUGCGAGACUGACGGGUCGAGCAGUAACGAAAGUUGGAGUUAGUGAUCCGGUGGUAUGUGAGUGGAAAUGCCAUCGCUCAACGGAUAAAAGUUACCCUGGGGAUAACAGGCUGAUCUCCCCCAAGAGUCCACAUCGACGGGGAGGUUUGGCACCUCGAUGUCGGCUCAUCGCAUCCUGGGGCUGUAUUCGGUCCCAAGGGUUUGGCUGUUCGCCAAUUAAAGCGGUACGCGAGCUGGGUUCAGAACGUCGUGAGACAGUUCGGUCCCUAUCUGUCGUGGGCGCAGGAUAUUUGAUGGGAGCUGUUCCUAGUACGAGAGGACCGGAGCGGACGUACCUCUGGCGCACCAGUUGUUCUGCCAAGGGCAUAGCUGGGCAACUAUGUACGGAUCGGAUAAACGCUGAAAGCAUCUAAGCGUGAAGCCGACCCAAAGAUAAGAUAUCCCAUUGUUUCAAACAAGUAAGACCCCUUGAAGACUACAAGGUUGAUAGGCACGAUGUGUAAGUGGAGUGAUCCAUUCAGCAAGCGUGUACUAAUAGGUCGAGGGCUUGACCAC